AUGGCGACUGCGAGAGCUCGACCCACCGUGGCCAUGGCCAUCGUCCUCCUCGCCACGCUCUCGGCCUCCCACACCGCGUCAUGCCUGGUCCGGCCGCACGACAUCGUCGGCUGCCAGCCCAGCGGCUACCUCCCGGGCAGGUCCGGGGACUGCGAGACGAGCAACAGCCCGGACUGCUGCGUCGACGGCAAGCAGUACCUGCAGUUCCUCUGCUCGCCGCCGGUCUCCGCGACCACAUGGGCCGUCCUCACGGUCAACGGCUUCGGCAAGGGCAAGGACGGCGGCCUCCCGUCCGAGUGCGACAGCGCGUACCACGACUCGGAGAUGGUCAUCGCGCUCUCCACCGGCUGGUUCAGCGGCAUGUCCCGCUGCAGCCGCGGCAUCAAGAUAACCGGUGGCAGCUCAUCCGUGUACGCCAAGGUGGUGGACGAGUGCGACUCCGUCCACGGUUGCGACAGGAUGUUACCUGGUCCGACGAGUAAUCAGUUAGUUUGA
rnacentral:rRNA from 1 species